rnacentral:rRNA from 1 species
UACGGAGGGUGCGAGCGUUGUCCGGAAUCACUGGGCGUAAAGGGCGCGUAGGCGGCUCCGGCAGUCUGUGGUGAAAGCCCAGGGCUCAACUCUGGGUCGGCCACGGAUACUCCGGGGCUGGAGCACACUAGAGGCGGAUGGAAUUCCGGGUGGUAGCGGUGGAAUGCGUAGAGAUCCGGGAAGAACACCGGUGGCGAAGGCGGUCCGCUGGGUGU